UACGUAGGUGACCAGCGUUGUCCGGAUUUACUGGGCGUAAAGAGCGCGCAGGCGGUCGUUCAAGUCGAGUGUGAAAGCCCCCGGCUCAACUGGGGAGGGUCACUCGAUACUGAUCGACUGGAAGGCAGGAGAGGGAAGCGGAAUUCCCGGUGUAGUGGUGAAAUGCGUAGAUAUCGGGAGGAACACCAGUGGCGAAGGCGGCUUCCUGGCCUGUUCUUGACGCUGAGGCGCGAAAGCUAGGGGAGCAAACAGG
rnacentral:rRNA from 1 species